AGAGUUUGAUCCUGGCUCAGAACGAACGCUGGCGGCGCGUCUUAAGCAUGCAAGUCGAGCGGCAAGCGCUAGCAAUAGCGCCUAGAGCGGCGGACUGGUGAGUAACGCGUGGGUAACCUGCCUUGAGGUUGGGGAUAGUCGUUAGAAAUAGCGGGUAAUACCGAAUACGCUUACAUGACGAAAGUUGUGUAAGGAAAGGGGCUUUGGCCCCGCCUUAAGAUGGGCCCGCGUCCCAUUAGGUAGUUGGCGAGGUAACGGCUCACCAAGCCUGAGAUGGGUAGCCGGCCUGAGAGGGUGAACGGCCACUGGGACUGAGAUACGGCCCAGACUCCUACGGGAGGCAGCAGCUAAGAAUAUUCCGCAAUGGACGAAAGUCUGACGGAGCGACGCCGCGUGGAUGACGAAGGCCGAAAGGUUGUAAAAUUCUUUUGCGGAUGAAGAAUAAGCAUGGGAGGGAAUGCCUGUGUGAUGACGUUAGUCCGUGAAUAAGCCCCGGCUAAUUACGUGCCAGCAGCCGCGGUAACACGUAAGGGGCGAGCGUUGUUCGGAAUUAUUGGGCGUAAAGGGCGCGUAGGCGGCCAUGUAAGUCUGGCGUGAAAUGCGGGAGCUUAACUCCCGGACUGCGCUGGAAACUGUGUGGCUUGAGUCAUGGAUGGGGAGCUGGAAUUCCUGGUGUAGGGGUGAAAUCUGUAGAUAUCAGGAAGAACACCGGUGGCGAAGGCGAGCUUCUGGCCGAUGACUGACGCUGAGGCGCGAAAGUGCGGGGAGCAAACAGGAUUAGAUACCCUGGUAGUCCGCGCUAUAAACGAUGCACACUAGGUGUUGGACCGAGCGGUUCAGUGCCGGAGCGAACGCGAUAAGUGUGCCGCCUGGGGAGUAUGCCCGCAAGGGUGAAACUCAAAGGAAUUGACGGGGGCCCGCACAAGCGGUGGAGCAUGU
rnacentral:rRNA from 1 species